CUAGUAACAGUAGGAACAUUCGGAACAUUAGGGCUGCAUCUGGCACUUGCAGUGACUCACACUUCCUUCAUAUGCCCACUCCAAAGCCUAGCUUUCUCCCAACUCGCGUCUUGCGGCUGCAUUGCUCGUCGUGUUCGUGAAUCAUGAGGGCCAAGUGGAAGAAAAAACGUAUGAGGCGCCUGAAACGCAAGCGCCGAAAGAUGAGACAAAGAUCCAAGUAGGCGUGUGGUAGUCUGGCUACUGUGCUGGAGGCAGGAAAUCACUACACAUGUUGGUACGAGUCGCACCGAUCGGUUAGAUUAUCGAAAGCUUAGGAUUAAUAAUCGUAGCACGGUUCAUUCGGAGGCAACUGUAGUAAUGGAGUUUUCGCUCUGCUAGUAUGAGAUAUGUAUGGGGGGGACGCUACGCUUCAUGAUUAAAAGUGAAACACAUUGGUUAUGAGAUAACGACAUGUGUUUGCAGUCUUUUGACACAUGCCUAAACUAUCUUGUA